rnacentral:SRP_RNA from 9 species
UGCCCGUUGCAAGUUGCGGGGUGGACCGGCUGGGGCCUAUGCGAAAGCUGGGCCUCACGGUCCAUAAUGUGGCAGGCACAGCGUGAGGCUGGCUUCACAGAGCAGCGACAACUGCCCACUUCCAACGGUGGAAGGAUAACG